UGAGAGUAGCAGCCUCUAUUGACUCUGGAUCCUGGAUGGAGAAAACAAGAAGAGACCUUGAGUUCUUUCCUCAGCAGUUCAAUGGAAAUUGCUGCGGCAUCUUUAUGCUGAUGUAUGCUCUCUGCAUCAGCACCUCACCUCCACUAUCGUUCACAGAGGACAUGCCAGCAAUUUGCCUGUGGUGGUGUAUUCAGCUGAUGGAGAGAUUCUGCAUUGAGGGGUAUGGCUAGUAUUAUAGACAAACUGGCACCAUCACAAUCACAGUUUUCAAAGUUAGUAUUAAUUGCAGUUUUGGCUCCGGCAACACAUCAGGUCAAGCAAAUGUUUGUGAAAGUGGCUUAAUGUAGUCACUUAUAAACCCUGUGACUGAACACACAGAAGAGAGCAGCAGUACACAACGAGAGUCCAUUCUGACUGGCAUUGCUUUUUUUACGGCUUGGACAGAGAUUCGCCUUCUGGACAGAAGAAGCAUCCCUUCUCCUGGGAACUCUCCAGCCUGUCUUUAGGGCAGGGGCGGAGCGUGGGGGUGG